CAUACUGGGAGGAAGGGCACCUCGGUGAACCAAGUAGCUGCUCCACACUCCAAGACCCUGGGCUGUCACCUGGGGAUCCUGACCCUAAAGCCGCCUCAUUAAGGAUGUGUUACAUCCACAGGACUUGUUACUCCAACUUUCCACUCCUAAAACCUAAGAGGGAAGUUAAAAGGGUGCUGGGGUGACAGGGAAAAGUACAACGCCCGACCUUGUGUGCUUGGAAUCCAGAAAAAAGCAAUGGGCAAGCGAAACGGAGAAAGACCACCUGGCACGCGACGCAUAAAGGUCAUGCGGAGGAGUGGGAGGUCUUAGUUCCAAAUGGAGGAAUGUUUUCACCAGAGGACACAAGAAUGGCUCCAUUAAGCUGGAAGUUGAGACUGCUAUCUGUUUACUUUGGGCUCCUCAUGGUAAUCAAUCAACAGGCAAAGCAGGUGAUUUAAGCCAAGGGAGGAACUACAACAACUGAGUUCAAGUAGGAUUAAUGAUCCACACCCUUCAGAGAUGAAGGUUUGGGUCACCCUACCAGGCAAGGAACCAUGACCAGAACUCCCUUUUGGUUAAUAAUCUGUGAUGGAUCCUGGACCCUGGAGGAGGAAAACUUCACAAUCAGUCCUUUUGCAAACCUCUGCCUGUCCACCUGUGAACACGCUAACUUAUUACAGGAGGCUUUAUUUUUGCUAUAUACAUUAUCAGCAGAUAAGUAUCUAUACAUUUCCUUUUGAAAAGAAAGUUGUGGGGGGCACCUGAGUGGACUUCUGCUCAGAUCAAGAUCUCAGGGUU